AUUUUGACCAGUUUUUGCAUUUAAGUGUACCCGGUUUCGCACACCAUGCUAUUUAUAGAAUUCAGUGAUAGUAAUGCAUUUACCCAAAAGAAAAAUUUCAAUUAACUUUUUAACUAACCUACUGGUCUCCAUUAGUAUUGUUAUUGUUUUCGUCUGCACCUACCAGAACGAGGCUAAAGCGGGGAUGAACCCCUUGUGUCAAUUUAUGUAGGGAAUAACUCAAUUUUGUGAAAUAAUAACAAAGAAUUGUUGAAUUUUCUGCUUUAUUCUCACAAAGCACAUGAAUUUGCUGGGUGUGCGAAACCGCGUACAGUGCGAAACCGGGUACACUGACUCUAAUGUUUU